rnacentral:rRNA from 2 species
AAACACCGGUUCUCGUCCGAUCACCGAAGUUAAGCAACGUCGGGCGCGGUCAGUACUUGGAUGGGUGACCGCCUGGGAAC